rnacentral:tRNA from 1 species
GCCAGGGUGGUGAAAUCGGUAUACACGCUAGGUUUAGGACCUAGUGCCCCUUAAAGGCGUGCAGGUUCAAGUCCUGUCCCUGGCA